AGACAGACAGACAGACAGACAGACAGACGGACGGACAAACACGGAUGGACAGGUUUUCCUCACAGGGGCCUCAGCUGUGGAGAAAAAGACAAAUUCAUUGACCAAUAACGAUGACGUCCUCAGGAAAUAGUUUGUCGGAAGAGAAAGAGGAUAUUGAGUAAAUCAAUAUGUUCAUGAUAGUAGGCAGCGCCUGGCUCUAGAAUGUUCUCUCACGUCAGCUUUGAGGAUCAAAAUGUUUUCAGGGCAGUGCAGGGUACGGUACGGGUCUCCAUGGGUUUAGCUUGUUGGUAAGGUGGUGGUGAGAUCCAGUCUCUCGAGGGUCCGGGUUGAAGGGGUCUUCUAUAUGACUGAUGGGAAGUUGAUGCCAGUCUGGUCUGCUUGUCUUCGAAGCUGAGUGAGAAUCACACGUGGGGCCGAGUCAAAGAUCUCGUAAAGAAGACAAAGCUGAGGAACCAGAACCAGCUGGGACUGACCUCCGCCUCCCUUAAGAUGUCCUGUCCGCAGCUUUACAGGCCUGAUCUGGGACCAGUGGACCUUUCCAGUAGAACCAGGAACUCUAUGAUCUCUUUGGGUCAACACAGCAAGUUGGACUUCCCCUGGCUUCACUGACCCCACAGGACUCCCCCGAGGUGAAGAGUCAGCACUCUGCUGCAUGCUGCCCUCACCCAGCUGCUCGUCUCCUACCAAGAUAUGAUCCAGAUGGUGGAGGAGGAAGAGGAGGAGGACACCGUGAAGUUGCACAUAGAUUCAAGACUGGAAAAGAAGGGACUGAAAUGAGAGUGGCGGGAAUAGGGAGUAGAAAAGUCAACGAGGGAGUGGUGUUGCAGGAUAAGGGAAAGUACUGUCACAAGCCAGGGCACCAUAACAGUUGUAUUUGUGUUGUAUCAAAGUGUGCUUGGAGAUGAUCUGUUUAUUUGUGUGUUUUAUGACAAGAAUGCUGACGUGAACUUGAGGUUAUGAUGCAUUUUCUAAAGGCUUCCGUAUGAAAACAAGUAUGAACAGCUGCCAGGUGAUUAACCCAGGUGAUUAACCCAGGUGAUUAACCCAGGUUAUUAGUCCAGGUUAUUAGUCCAGGUUAUUAGUCCAGGUUAUUAAUCCAGUCGUGUUCACUGAGAUGUUAUGACCACUGUCAAACACAUCAUAGGCCUUCACAAGUGUUUCGUGAUUUAACAAACUCCUUCAUUCUUAUGUAACUACACAGCGCCGAUAUGUAUGUUGUUUAAACAGAAGUGUAACGUUUCCAUCACAGUGUGAGUUGUGUGUCAUAAAACUGUCAGCAGUUAAUGUAAAACAUACAUACAUGUAUCUCAUAUCAUGACCUUUCCUUUUACUUUCAUUUUAUAGUGUGUGCGUGCGCAUGCAUUUGGCAUGAUCCUGUGUGUGCAUAUGUGUGUGCAUAUUGGUAUGUGGUUUGUGUGUGUGGGCGGGUGGGAUGCACAUGUGUAAUGUUAUGUUAUGUUAUGUUAUGUUAUGUUGUGUUAUGUUACAAUAUGUUAUGUUGCGUUGUGUUGUGUUGUGUUAUGUUACGUUACAUUACGUUGCGUUGUGUUGUGUUGCGUUAUGUUACGUUACAUUACGUUGCGUUGCGUUGUGUUGUGUUAUGUUAUGUUAUGUAAUGUUAAGUUUAUGGCAGGGUGCAUGAACAGUCAAUAUGUACAGUGCAGGAUCCAGGCUCCUGUGGACUCCAGUGUUUAACAGUGAUGCAUCAUGUUGACGUAUGAGUGGAAGAUGGAGCAGGAGAUAACACCACGGGCCUCUCUGAUAGCUGGUCUUACAUAACCCUGCAGACUUCCAGUGUGCUUCCAUCUUCUGUGGGAUGAGGAAUUCUCUUCCUAUCAGCACACCCUGCCGCAACUCUGCCCAUACAUAGAGAGUAAUGAGAAGAGGCUGCAGAGCAGUGAUACAUCUUGAUGUUACUCAACACUGUGUGUCAGGCAGACAGUACCGGGGGUAGCUGACAUGUGCAGAGAGAGGGAAAUGUGCAGAGACAGAUAUGCACACACAGAGACAGAUAUGCACACACAGAGAGAAAUGUGCACACACAGAGAGAAAUGUGCACACACAGAGAGAUGUGCACAGAGAUGUGCACACAGAGAGAUGUGCACACAGAGAGAGAAAUGUGCACACAGAGAGAUGUGCACACAGAGAAAUGUGCACAGAAAAAUGUGCACAGAAAUGUGCAGAGAGAAAUGUGCAGAGAGAGAAAUGUGCACACAGAGAGAGAUAUGUGCACAAAGACGAAAAUGUGCACAGGGAAAUGUCCACAGAGAGAAAUGUGCAGAGAGAGAAAUAUGCACAGAGAGAGAGAUGUGCACACAGACAGAAAUCAGCACACAGAGAAAUGUGCACAUAGAGAGACGUGUACAGAGAGAGAAAUGUGCAUAGAGAGAGACGUGUACAGAGAGAGAAAUGUGCAUAGAGAGACGUGUACAGAGAGAGA